rnacentral:rRNA from 1 species
GACAGAGGAUGCAAGCGUUAUCCGGAAUGAUUGGGCGUAAAGCGUCUGUAGGUGGCUUUUCAAGUCCGCCGUCAAAUCCCAGGGCUCAACCCUGGACAGGCGGUGGAAACUACCAAGCUGGAGUACGGUAGGGGCAGAGGGAAUUUCCGGUGGAGCGGUGAAAUGCAUUGAGAUCGGAAGGAACGCCCGUGGCGAAAGCGAGGUCCUGGACCCUUUCUGACGCUGAGACGCGAAAGCCAGGGGAGCGAACGGGG